rnacentral:rRNA from 1 species
AAAUUGAAGAGUUUGAUCAUGGCUCAGAUUGAACGCUGGCGGCAGGCCUAACACAUGCAAGUCGAACGGUAACAGGAAGCAGCUUGCUGCUUUGCUGACGAGUGGCGGACGGGUGAGUAAUGUCUGGGAAACUGCCUGAUGGAGGGGGAUAACUACUGGAAACGGUGGCUAAUACCGCAUAACGUCGCAAGACCAAAGAGGGGGACCUUCGGGCCUCUUGCCAUCAGAUGUGCCCAGAUGGGAUUAGCUUGUUGGUGAGGUAACGGCUCACCAAGGCGACGAUCCCUAGCUGGUCUGAGAGGAUGACCAGCCACACUGGAACUGAGACACGGUCCAGACUCCUACGGGAGGCAGCAGUGGGGAAUAUUGCACAAUGGGCGCAAGCCUGAUGCAGCCAUGCCGCGUGUAUGAAGAAGGCCUUCGGGUUGUAAAGUACUUUCAGCGGGGAGGAAGGUGUUGUGGUUAAUAACCGCAGCAAUUGACGUUACCCGCAGAAGAAGCACCGGCUAACUCCGUGCCAGCAGCCGCGGUAAUACGGAGGGUGCAAGCGUUAAUCGGAAUUACUGGGCGUAAAGCGCACGCAGGCGGUCUGUCAAGUCGGAUGUGAAAUCCCCGGGCUCAACCUG